rnacentral:rRNA from 1 species
GACGAACGCUGGCGGCGUGCCUAAUACAUGCAAGUAGAACGCACAGUUUAUACCGUAGCUUGCUACACCAUAGACUGUGAGUUGCGAACGGGUGAGUAACGCGUAGGUAACCUGCCUGGUAGCGGGGGAUAACUAUUGGAAACGAUAGCUAAUACCGCAUAAUAUUAAUUAUUGCAUGAUAAUUAAUUGAAAGGUGCAAUUGCACCACUACCAGAUGGACCUGCGUUGUAUUAGCUAGUAGGUGAGGUAACGGCUCACCUAGGCGACGAUACAUAGCCGACCUGAGAGGGUGAGCGGCCACACUGGGACUGAGACACGGCCCAGACUCCUACGGGAGGCAGCAGUAGGGAAUCUUCGGCAAUGGACGAAAGUCUGACCGAGCAACGCCGCGUGAGUGAAGAAUGUUUUCGGAUCGUAAAGCUCUGUUGUAAGAGAAGAACGGGUGUGAGAGUGGAAAGUUCACACUGUGACGGUAUCUUACCAGAAAGGGACGGCUAACUACGUG